UGUAGUGUGGAGCAGUCGGUAGCUCGUUAGCCUCAUAAGCUAAAGGUCACAGGUUCGAGUCCUGUCACUGCAACCA
rnacentral:tRNA from 1 species